rnacentral:rRNA from 1 species
CGUAGGGUGCAAGCGCUAAUCGGAAUUACUGGGCGUAAAGCGUGCGCAGGCGGUUUCGUAAGUCUGUCGUGAAAUCCCCGGGCUCAACCUGGGAAUGGCGAUGGAGACUGCGAGGCUAGAGUUUGGCAGAGGGGGGUAGAAUUCCACGUGUAGCAGUGAAAUGCGUAGAGAUGUGGAGGAACACCGAUGGCGAAGGCAGCCCCCUGGGUCAAAACUGACGCUCAUGCACGAAAGCGUGGGGAGCAAACAGGAUUAGAUACCCUGGUAGUCCACGCCCUAAACGAUGUCUACUAGUUGUUGGGUCUUAAUUGACUUAGUAACGCAGCUAACGCGUGAAGUAGACCGCCUGGGGAGUACGGUCGCAAGAUUA